AGAAGUUUCGAUCCUGGCUCAGGAUAAACGCUGGCGGCGCACAUAAGACAUGCAAGUCGAACGGACUUAACCAUUAGUUUACUAUUGGAGCGGUUAGUGGCGGACUGGUGAGUAACACGUAAGCAACCUGCCUAUCAGAGGGGAACAACAGUUAGAAAUGACUGCUAAUACCGCAUAUGCCUUAGUAACACAUGUUACAAAGGGAAAGAAGCAAUUCGCUGAUAGAUGGGCUUGCGUCUGAUUAGAUAGUUGGUGGGGUAACGGCCUACCAAGUCGACGAUCAGUAGCCGGACUGAGAGGUUGAACGGCCACAUUGGGACUGAGAUACGGCCCAGACUCCUACGGGAGGCAGCAGUCGGGAAUAUUGCGCAAUGGAGGAAACUCUGACGCGGUGACGCCGCGUGCAGGAAGAAGGUUUUCGGAUUGUAAACUGCUUUAGACAGGGAAGAAACAAGACAGUACCUGUAGAAUAAGCUCCGGCUAACUACGUG
rnacentral:rRNA from 1 species